AACGUUCCAUGUCACUGGCAAAAGACCAAUGUCAUUGGAAGUAGUGACAUGAUUGCAGUAAUUUACUGCUUUCCAUUUGUCUGUUGUGGAAUUCAUCUUGUAUACUUCAAAUAUUAAUGUGUCGAUUUUUGUCAAAAAUAGUAUAAACAAAAUUCUUUCGUUUCUUAUGCAUUAAAUCACUCCAGGAAGGAAAUACCAUUAUUUGAAUAGAGACGACAUCCCGCUGUUGCUCUUUACCGACUUUUGGCAAAAACAACAUUCUAACAGUCAAUAAUCUCGUUCAACGUCUCACAUUUAAAACCCGUUUCAAUUUCGAUCAGAUCAAACUAUCCUUAUGGCUCCAAAGUCCUCAAAAAAAAAGUUUAAAUUUGCAAAAAAUGACAAAAAGUUUUUAAAUGAAGCUAAAGAAAAAGUUAAGAAAAAUGGGCUUGAUGGCAGAAGUGAUUGGUAUAUAUGCCAAAUCAAGGAAUGGAAAAAAAUAAAAAGGUGUUUGCUUUCAUCGGAUCAAAGAAAUCAGGAAACUUUUUAAUCGAGGCUCUUAGUCGAUUGCGUCGUUUGCUUCAAUCAGUUCAAUGAAUUUUGUUAAAUGGUUUCAAACCAAUAAAAUCUAAUAAAUAAAGAAUUAACAGAUGCAAAGUCCGCAAAAAUACGUAUAACUACUUAUUUAUAAGCCACAACAUCGUUAUUUGUCUUGAACAGACUUCGCCUUUUGGUAAUUUAUGAUUAACUGUGCUUUAAAAAUUGUCCAUUUCGUACUUAAUGUUUCAGUAUAAUAUAGAAGCUCUCAAAAUCAUGGAUGGAAAAAGAACUCUGUUAAAAUUUUCAAAAUUAAAAUGACAAGUCACAACAAAUUUGAUUUAGUUGAAAUAUUAAUUAUUAAAGAAAUAUAAGAGCUACAUACUUCAUUACAUUUGAAAGACUUUAAUUUUUAAAGAAAUAAAAAUCGAUAUA